rnacentral:lncRNA from 1 species
UACCUUGUUGAAUAUCCCCGGUUUCAGUCCGUUCGCAAAUCUUCUCGCCUCUGUGUCCACUUGAUGAGGUGCAAAUCUUGCCAGCUCGUUGAAUUUGGUAACAUAUUCAGAUACCGACAUGUUCUCCUGCUUAAGUUCUAAGAAUUGAACUUCCAUCCUGGAUUGCAUACUCGGUGAGAAGUAGUUCUCAAAGAACAGUUCCUUAAAUCUUGUCCAUAACACCACCGUUGUACCAGCUCUGGCCUGAUUAGUCUCCCACCAGUAAUUAGCUUAUCCCUUCAUUAAGUAUGUCACAAAAGCCAUCUUCUGUUCUUCUGCCACUCGCGAAAUGACGAAUGCUUUCUCCAUCUCCUUCACCCAAGUUUGGGCUUCAAUCGGAUAUGUGGUCCCUUUGAAUUCAGGUGGUCCUACCGCUUUAAAGUCCUUGAAGUUAGCCAAUCUAUCAGCUGGCUGAUUUCUCGCUCUUCCUCUUGCUAGAGCCCUAUUUUCCAUAGCUUCGGCUAUCAUAUCUGCAAAGUUUUGCAUCAGGUCAGCUUGACCUCCUUCAUUAUUUACCGAUUUCUCUUUCCCGUUGGUUUCUAUUCUGUUGUCUAGGCGGCAUGAUCUGAUUUAAAUAAAAAUCUUAUAUUAAUUCUCACAUAAUCGCAUAUUUAUUCAAAUAGCACAUAGUACAUUUAGUACUUCACAUAUUACUAUCCCUUUUUAAAUCAUAUCAGGAUUAUUAACACAACUUUACACAAAAAGUUGCUAUUCUCCAUUCACACACAGUUAUUACCAGUUCA